rnacentral:rRNA from 1 species
GCAUAUCAAUAAGCGGAGGAAAGGAAACUAACCAGGAUUCCCGUAGUAACGGCGAGUGAAGUGGGAAAAGCUCAGACUGAAAAUCUUCGGAGUUGUGGUCUGGAGAGGCAGUGGUAAUCGUGGAAGUCUUCGUAAAGUCGCAUGGAAAGGCGCGCCACGGAGGGUGAGAGCCCCGUUCGUACGAAGGCGGAAGCAGGAUCCUUGUCUCGAUGAGUCGAGUUGUUUGGGAUUGCAGCUCUAAGUGGGUGGUAAAUUCCAUCUAAAGCUAAAUAUGGGUAGGAAACCGAUAGCAAACAAGUACCGUGAGGGAAAGAUGAAAAGAACUUUGAAAAGAGAGUGAAAUAGUACCUGCAAUUGCUGAAAAGGAACCGAUGGGAAGCAGUGUAUGGGGUCUGUCUGGUGUUACUGGUCGGAUCGCCGGUCUCGCUUCCUUGGCUGUGUGGGAAAAGGUUCGUCCUGUCACGCGGCCGAGGGACUGAGACAAAAUGCUUCUCAUCAACCCGUCCUUGAAACACGGACC